CCUACGGGAGGCAGCAGUGAGGAAUAUUGGUCAAUGGACGAGAGUCUGAACCAGCCAAGUAGCGUGAAGGAUGACUGCCCUAUGGGUUGUAAACUUCUUUUAUAUGGGAAUAAAACGUUCCACGUGUGGGAUUUUGUAUGUACCAUAUGAAUAAGGAUCGGCUAACUCCGUGCCAGCAGCCGCGGUAAUACGGAGGAUCCGAGCGUUAUCCGGAUUUAUUGGGUUUAAAGGGAGCGUAGGUGGAUUGUUAAGUCAGUUGUGAAAGUUUGCGGCUCAACCGUAAAAUUGCAGUUGAAACUGGCAGUCUUGAGUACAGUAGAGGUGGGCGGAAUUCGUGGUGUCGCGGUGAAAUGCUUAGAUAUCACGAAGAACUCCGAUUGCGAAGGCAGUUCACUGGACUGCAACUGACACUGAGGCUCGAAAGUGUGGGUAUCAAACAGGAUUAGAUACCCCAGUAGUC
rnacentral:rRNA from 1 species